rnacentral:rRNA from 1 species
ACGAACGCUGGCGGCGUGCUUAACACAUGCAAGUCGAACGGUGAAGCGCCUUCCUUUUUGGUGGGUGUGGAUGAGUGGCGAACGGGUGAGUAACACGUGAGUAACCUGCCCCCUUCUUCUGGAUAACCGCAUGAAAGUGUGGCUAAUACGGGAUAUUCUGGGUCUGUCGCAUGAUGGGUCUGGGAAAGAUAUUGUUUCGGUGGGGGAUGGGCUCGCGGCCUAUCAGCUUGUUGGUGGGGUGAUGGCCUACCAAGGCGGUGACGGGUAGCCGGCCUGAGAGGGUGGACGGUCACACUGGGACUGAGACACGGCCCAGACUCCUACGGGAGGCAGCAGUGGGGAAUAUUGCACAAUGGGCGCAAGCCUGAUGCAGCGACGCCGCGGGAGGGAUGGAGGCCUUCGGGUUGUGAACCUCUUUCGCCAGUGAAGCAGGCCUGCCUCGUAUGUGGGUGGGUUGACGGUAGCUGGAUAAGAAGCGCCGGCUAACUACGUG